GUGCUCGCUUUGGCAGCACAUACAAUAAAAGUUGGAAUGAUACAGAGAAGACGAGCAUGGCCCCUGCACAAGGAUGAUGCACAAAUUCGCGAAACAUUCCGUAUUUUU